rnacentral:rRNA from 1 species
AUUGAACGCUGGCGGCAGGCUUAACACAUGCAAGUCGAGCGCCCCGCAAGGGGAGCGGCAGACGGGUGAGUAACGCGUGGGAACGUACCCUUUGCUACGGAAUAGCUCCGGGAAACUGGAAUUAAUACCGUAUGUGCCCUACGGGGGAAAGAUUUAUCGGCAAAGGAUCGGCCCGCGUUGGAUUAGCUAGUUGGUGGGGUAAUGGCCUACCAAGGCGACGAUCCAUAGCUGGUCUGAGAGGAUGAUCAGCCACAUUGGGACUGAGACACGGCCCAAACUCCUACGGGAGGCAGCAGUGGGGAAUAUUGGACAAUGGGCGCAAGCCUGAUCCAGCCAUGCCGCGUGAUCGAUGAAGGCCUUAGGGUUGUAAAGAUCUUUCAGUGGGGAAGAUAAUGACUGUACCCACAGAAGAAGCCCCGGCUAACUCCGUGCCAGCCGCCGCGGUAAAAC